rnacentral:rRNA from 1 species
UACGUAGGUGGCAAGCGUUGUCCGGAUUUACUGGGCGUAAAGGGAGCGUAGGCGGAUACUUAAGUGGGAUGUGAAAUACCUGGGCUUAACUUGGGUGCUGCAUUCCAAACUGGGUGUCUAGAGUGUUGGAGAGGAAAGUGGAAUUCCUAGUGUAGCGGUGAAAUGCGUAGAGAUUAGGAAGAACACCAGUGGCGAAGGCGACUUUCUGGACAAUAACUGACGCUGAGGCUCGAAAGCGUGGGGAGCAAACAGGAUUAGAUACCCUGGUAGUCCACGCCGUAAACGAUGGGGAAUAGGUGUAGGAGGUAUCGAAUCCUCCUGUGCCGCCGUUAACACAAUAAGUAACCCGGCUGGGGAGUACGGUCGCAAGAUUAAA